UUAAAAAAUGGAUGUCAAGCCCGGCCAAACAGCCGAAUCGACAACAAAGCCAAAUAUCCAUGGCGCCAAGGUAAUUCUCUGUAUUUGGUGGGAGCAAAAGGGUCCAUUAUGAGCUGCUGAAGUCUGACCAGACCAUCGCAGGGAAACUAUACCGAACGCAAAUGAUUCGUUUGAAGCGAGCAUUGGCCGAAAAACUAUCAGAAUAUGCAGCCGGGCUUGAAAUUGAAACCAUAAUAUUCCAUCAUGACAACCAAAGUAAAUUAAUAAAGUAGACUCAGUAGAACAGCUGACUAUUUUUUUUUACUUUGGUCUGAACUGUCAAUUUACUUGUGGUUGUUGUGGCGAAAAAUACAACAAGCCCAAAAGCAAAAACAACAACAGGCAACUUUGACAGCUCAGACCUUAAACCAAAAACAAAAUUGCUUGUGGUUUUUGUAAAUGUUGUAUUUGUUGUAGUACUGUCGCUACUUUAUUAAUUUACUUUGAUGACAACGCUCGACCAAAUGUUGCAGUACCUGUUGAAACUAUUCCGCCUCUACGGUAGAGCAGAUAGAGAAAUAUAUCAACAAGAAAAGGAUCAUGAAGAAAAUGAGGAAGCUGAAAAUACUUAUGUAUAUUAAACUUUUCAUUCUAUGCAGAAAGCUCACUCAGGGAUACAGAGUAUUCGAAAUGGCAUGAUUCUUUUAUUUUUCCGAUCGAUUUCGUUUUAGGUUCUUUAGAUUCCGUGUAAUUUAUUAAUUCCAAAAAUAUUUGUAAUUCUGUAUUUCUGAUUUUAAUUUGACAUCGUUUUUUAUAUUAAAAUAAAAGUAAAGUCUUUGGUACAGAAA